rnacentral:rRNA from 1 species
AUUGAACGCUGGCGGCAUGCUUUACACAUGCAAGUCGAACGGCAGCGCGGUCUGCGGCCGGGCUGCGGGUGGCGAACGGGUGAGUAAUACAUCGGAACGUGCCCAGCAGCGGUGGAUAGCUCGGCGAAAGCGGGAUUAAUACCGCAUACGACCUGAGGGUGAAAGCGGGGGAGCUUCGGACCUCGCGCCAUUGGAGCGGCCGAUGGCAGAUUAGCGAGUUGGUGGGGUAAAGGGCUACCAAGGCGACGAUCUGUAGCUGGUCUGAGAGGACGACCAGCCACCCCGGGACUGAGACCCGGCCCAGACUCCUACGGGAGGCCGCCGUGGGGAAUUUUGGACCAUGGGCGGAAGCCUGAUCCAGCCCUGCCGCGUGUGUUAUGAAGGCCUUCGGGUUUUAAAGCACUUUUGGCGGGAACGAAAAGGACUGUGCCAAUAACACGGUUGGAUGACGGUACCCGCAGGAUUAGCCCCGGCUAACUACGUG